AUAAGAAAAUUGAAGCCCAGAAGAUGGAAACACUAAGAGACUUCCCACUGGGUUCCAGCCGGCACACCCAACCUCUUCAGGACCUGAAAAUCGUCCUUGCAUGGGAAGACAAACUAAAGCCCACAUCACUGAAGGAUUUGUCAUGAUGAAAAAGAAAAUGAAUAAAAACAGAAUAUAUUUUAUAUUAGUAAUACCACAUACAUCUGAUGAUAGUAGUACACACACGCCUUGCAUAUCAGUAAAGAUGCCUUUAAAAAAAA
rnacentral:lncRNA from 10 species